rnacentral:lncRNA from 1 species
UUCUUUGUACUUCUGGUAGAAUUCGGCUCUGAAUUUGGUUCCACUCUCCCCAUCACUUUCAGGUACACCAACCAAAUACAUUGUUGUCUUUGGGACCAAUACAUUUCUUCUAUCUGCAUAUCUGGGUAGAAGCUCUCAUGGAAGAAAAAAGAAAAGCCCCAUAGGUGAAGGGGAGUGUGCCUGCCAAGUUCCUUGUAAUAACUUCACACGCAGAGUAUUUUAUGAAAUGAAUCUGCUGGAGUCAUCUCAUGGAAUCUUCUCAUUCUUCUGGAGUCUCCUCAUUUUACAGACUCUGAAGGAAAAACACCAGCUGAGGAAGAAUGAAGAACUGCCUGUUCUAAGUUAUUCUCCUUCUGUGGUCAUUCGAGCACCAGGAAGACCAGGUUUGACCCAUCAAGUACCUCAAGAAAGAAGUCAAUUACCUAAAGAAGUCAAGCAAAAAGGAAAGGACAAAAUGAAAAUCAUGUACCAGGGUACACGUCGAGGCUCCAAGCUGGAAUGAAUAUGGCCUUCAACAUACUCUUCAUCAUACAGAAGCUUGUGUUCAGGGCUUGGAUUUUGAAGUCAGACAGACCUGGAUUAAAAACCAAUUCAACUACCUAUUACAUAUGUGACCUAGGAAAAACAUCCAGGCAAGUGGAAAGCAUUUGCAUCAGCCCAGCAAUAAGAAGGACCAUAUUCUACUUGGGAAAAGGUAAAGACGUUUCAUAUGGAUGGAGCCUGCCAGGAAACCUGUCAUUCAACCCUUUGCAAUAAAACAGCUCCUCAUGAAUGAAGCAAAAUAAAUCAGAAGUCGUGGGCUUUUAAAUUCACUAAAUGAAAGCCCAGCAUGCAUGCAGCCUCCCUCCAAAUUAAUCACCAGAUUAAAUGCAAGAUGUGCACACCAAAUCAAUAGCUUGUGACAGAGACCUCCUGCCUGUGCUUCAGGAAAAUUCCAUUUCCUUUCAGAUGUUGUAGCUUGAAAUGUCAGGAAGUUUCCAUUCAUCACCCGCCCUUGAAAAUGCCACCAUCACCAUGCUUCAUGUUUCCUUGCUUUCUUUCUUCAGAGGAAUCCAAGCACCUUGCAGAGGGAGCCCACUCAUUGUCACAG